rnacentral:pre_miRNA from 1 species
GGGAAAGGGAGAGAGAGUCUCAGGAAGUUGUGGGCAUGGGUUGUUUGGUGAGAGGCAUCGCUCUCUAUUCUCAUGCGCGCAUGGAGGGAGGUGGGUGAGGUUUCUUGCCAAUACCACCCAUGCCAGCAAUUUCCUGCUUUUCCUCCCUUUCCC